GAGUUUGAUCAUGGCUCAGAUUGAACGCUGGCGGCAUGCCUAACACAUGCAAGUCGAACGGCAGCACAGGUAGCAAUACCGGGUGGCGAGUGGCGGACGGGUGAGUAAUGCAUCGGGAUCUACCCUGACGUGGGGGAUAACCUCGGGAAACCGGGACUAAUACCGCAUACGUCCUACGGGAGAAAGCGGGGGACCUUCGGGCCUCGCGCGGCAGGACGAACCGAUGUGCGAUUAGCUAGUUGGCGGGGUAAUGGCCCACCAAGGCGACGAUCGCUAGCUGGUCUGAGAGGAUGAUCAGCCACACUGGGACUGAGACACGGCCCAGACUCCUACGGGAGGCAACAGUGGGGAAUAUUGGACAAUGGGCGCAAGCCUGAUCCAGCAAUGCCGCGUGUGUGAAGAAGGCCUUCGGGUUGUAAAGCACUUUUAUCAGGAGCGAAAUACCACGGGUUAAUACCCUAUGGGGCUGACGGUACCUGAGGAAUAAGCACCGGCUAACUUCGUGCCAGCAGCCGCGGUAAUACG
rnacentral:rRNA from 1 species